AACGUAGGACGCAAGCGUUAUCCGGAGUUACUGGGCGUAAAGGGCUCGUAGGCGGCCAACUAAGUCGGAUGUGAAAUCCCCAGGCUCAACUUGGGAACUGCAUCCGAUACUGGAUGGCUUGAAUUCGGGAGAGGGAUGCAGAAUUCCAGGUGUAGCGGUGAAAUGCGUAGAUAUCUGGAGGAACACCGGUGGCGAAGGCGACAUCCUGGACCGGCAUUGACGCUGAGGCGCGAAAGCCAGGGGAGCAAAGCGGG
rnacentral:rRNA from 1 species